rnacentral:tRNA from 1 species
GGUCUAACUUGAGUAGUAAACUAUUUGCCUAGCAAGCAUAAGGCCCUGAGUUCAAAUCUCAGUUACAUCA